UGAAUAAAUGCAACAAAGCUCUGCAUACUGAAAAGGGCACAUUCAUGGUUUGGACAAACACAUGUUAAAAUAGACAGAGACUCACCUGAGGAUUUCCUGGAAUCUUCAUAUGGUAAAUGUGAAUUAGCUCUCAAGUAUGAAGAUGGUAAAAAAGAAGUCCAACUGGGAGUCUAAGAAAAAUAUGCUGGCCCACAGGGAAGGAGUGUUACCCUGACAACUCAGGAGAGGAUAAUUCUGUAACUGCCUUUCUGUGAGAAACAGACACAAAUUUUGGAGUUCUCUGCUUAAUUCCAUGCAAAGUUUGAAGGGGGACACGGCCUGCAUGAAACAUUAAUAGAUAAGGGGCUGACAUAAAGGCAGAAAUGCAAAGGGAGCUGGGGGUGGAGGGGAGUAAUGUCCCUCUUCCCUCAGAUGCAGGGCCUGUUCUCAAGCUCUGUGUAGUCAAACGUCUGGUUUCCCCAGCUUGGACACAGACCACAUAUGUCCCCCUGGGUAGAAUACUUCUAAUUGUCUACACAUUGUAUUAGCAAGUAGCCUUUCCCCCAAACCCCUUUUCCUGAUAUGAAUCCUCAGCAGUGACUUACCUGUUCAUGCUGGCCCCUGAGAUGGGCUUCAUCUCUACUGCUUCGCUACACGGUCACCACUUGAAAGGGAAGGCCCAUUGUUGCGUGACAAAUUUCUCCUCCUGCAGUUGGUUUUAGCUAACCUAAUGAAUGCGCCACUAGCUGCCUUCUGCCCCCUGCCCCCCAAAUUCUACCUCAGGAGAGGAGUACCACUCUAUGCAUUCCUCAUCAUCUUCCUGUCUCAUUCCACUCCUGCCUCCAAGCAGCCACCCCUGAGGCUGGCCUAGGCCUAUAUUGUUCUGAGUCCAGAACAAACAAGAGUUUUGUCCCCGGGUAGAGGAAGAAAUCAUUAUUCCCUCUCUCCAAAUUUCUGGCCUUUAAAAAACACAAGAGCCCAACAGACUUCCUGAGGAUUAGCUCCUUUUUCAGUCAAAUGACAAUAGUAGCAUUCAUUUCCCUCGCAAAAACACCAUUCCCAAUCAUAAGAUACCGUCUGACUUCAUGAGCCCAACAAGAUUAGUGCCAAAUAGUAUGAUAAUAGUACAUUUCCUGAGGUCUGAGUUAUUCAUUCUUAUCUAUGGUUACUUUGCUAAAUUUUCA